rnacentral:rRNA from 1 species
UCCUACGGGGGGCAACAGUAGGGAAUUUUCGUCAAUGGGCGCAAGCCUGAACGAGCAAUGCCGCGUGAACGAGGAAGGUCUUCGGAUCGUAAAGUUCUGUUGAAGGGGAAAAAGAGCGGAGAGAGGAAAUGGUCUCCGAUUGAUAUUACCCUUCGAGGAAGUCACGGCUAACUACGUGCCAGCAGCCGCGGUAAUACGUAGGUGGCGAGCGUUAUCCGGAAUGAUUGGGCGUAAAGGGUGCGUAGGCGGCCUGCUAAGUCUGGAGUGAAAGGUACCGGCUCAACCGGUACAGGCUCUGGAAACUG